UUGGGUUGGCCAAAAAGCUUGUUUGGGUUUUUCUGUAACAUGGAAAAAACCGAGCAAAUUUUUUGGCCAACCC
rnacentral:miRNA from 1 species